UGGGAUCAUUACCGAGUUUACAACUCCCAAACCCCUGUGAACAUACCUUAACGUUGCUUCGGCGGACAACCCUCGCCUUACCGCGAGGGCCCGCCAGAGGACCCAAACCCAACCUUUAUUUUUACCUUUACCUACAUCUCUGAGUGGAUUUUAUAAAUCAAAUCAAAACUUUCAACAACGGAUCUCUUGGCUCUGGCAUCGAUGAAGAACGCAGCGAAAUGCGAUAAGUAAUGUGAAUUGCAGAAUUCAGUGAAUCAUCGAAUCUUUGAACGCACAUUGCGCCCGCCAGUAUUCUGGCGGGCAUGCCUGUUCGAGCGUCAUUAACACCCCUCAAGCCCCCGGGCUUGGCGUUGGGGAUCGGGAACAGCGGAUCGGCCCCCCGGGGCCGCGAAGCCCCCGUCCCCCAAAUGCAUCGGCGGUCACGCCGCGGCCUCUUGCGCGUAGUAGCUAACACCUCGCGCCGGAGCCCGUCGUGGUCCACGCCGCUAAACCCCCGACUUUUUACAAGUUGACCUCGAAUCAGGUAGGACUACCCGCUGAACUUAAGCAUAUCAAUAAGCGGAGGAAAAGAAACCAACAGGGAUUGCCCUAGUAACGGCGAGUGAAGCGGCAACAGCUCAAAUUUGAAAUCUGGCCCUCGGGUCCGAGUUGUAAUUUGUAGAGGAUGCUUUUGGUGCGGUGCCUUCCGAGUUCCCUGGAACGGGACGCCAUAGAGGGUGAGAGCCCCGUCUGGUCGGACACCAAGCCUCUGUAAAGCUCCUUCGACGAGUCGAGUAGUUUGGGAAUGCUGCUCUAAAUGGGAGGUAUAUGUCUUCUAAAGCUAAAUACCGGCCAGAGACCGAUAGCGCACAAGUAGAGUGAUCGAAAGAUGAAAAGCACUUUGAAAAGAGAGUUAAACAGUACGUGAAAUUGUUGAAAGGGAA
rnacentral:rRNA from 1 species